rnacentral:lncRNA from 1 species
UGUUAGAAUAUAUGUUCCAGCAGAUUCAAAAAUUAGUUAAUUUGUUGAUCGAUUAGUUACUAGUUAGUUUAAUUAGUCAGUUGUGAGAUGUUAGUUAUUCUAGUUAGCUACCCACAUUUGUGUAUAUAAAUACAAGACUUUGUAUACAUUUUAGUUCAUUGUAUUGUAUUCCAAUCCCUCCAUUCAUGGAGGUUUGUUUUCUUCCUUUCAUGGAGUAUUUCUUGCUUCAAUGAUGAGGCCUUUUAGUUCCUGCAAUCAUGCCAGGUUUCAACAUUGUUUGAAUUCAAGAAUUUAAUAUGGUAUCAGAGCAUAAUUGCUUCCUACUAUUGCUAUCAUCUCAGCAUUUUACUGGCUACAAAGAUAGUUUGGCUUCAGAUCAUCCACCAGUUUGACUGCCAUUGGGAAUGACCUCAAGGAUAGGUUUCAACACCAACAACAUGGUUUGUCUUCGGUGCUUCAUAUUCUGGUGUUCUAGAUUCUAAUUCCUCACUAGAAUCAUUUUUUCUUCUUUGUAGCAACCACUGAGCCAUUUCUGCCUGCAAUGCAUCAAGCUCAUCUUCAUCUUCUGUAUUCUUGCAAGCAGUUGGGCGUACAGGUUGCCUUCUAGUCUUCAAGUUCUGCCUCUAAUUCAUCUUUAUCAGAAUCAACCGCCGCACCAAUUGGUUUGACAAUGUCUUUCAUGGAAUCAGAGCCGGUCCUGUGAUUGUUGGGCCCUGAGGCGAAGUGUGUAAAUUAGGUCCCCCAGCGAAAGCAAUGUAAAAACAAAAUUCAACGGUGUAUUAUGCGAUCCAUUGCUAACUUAAAAAAUUAACUUUAAAACAACAACCAAAUAUAUUAUAGAAACGAUUUAUAUAAAUACAAAAUUCAAUGGCGUAUAAUGUCCAAUGAUUAACCUAAAAAACAAUUACAAAAUAUCUCAAUCAUCACACAAUUACAAUUUUCAAUACAGUUACUAUGUGCGCCUGUAUAAUUGUUCAUCCCACAAUAACCAAUCAUAUAAGCCAACCAAGCUGCAAUUAUACAAGCCGACAAGACUUCAAACAUUUUCAAUCUCUUUAAUAACAAGUUAGGGCAAGCCAUUGCUUACCUGAGAAGUGGAAUUUUGACGAUAAUUGUGGAAUUACACCGUUGAGAAUGAUCUCGUCACAACUCACGAGUUUGAAACAAAAAUUUAUAUAAAAUUAUAUAUGAUGUCUAAGAUUGCCAAGACUAAGAUCUAGUGAUAAGGGAAUUAAGAAUAUUUAAGAACAGCAAACCUUCAAUUUUUGAGCUCUGUCACCUCUCACUUUCUUUUUGCUCAUUAUAUUCUUGAACCAAACUCUAGAGCCCAUUAUCGAUGCUUAAUAUAGCUCACUGGAAUAUCCUGCAGAUGAUGUAAAUGGCAUCACUAUUGAAUUAUUGAUUUAGUCAAAUGCUUAAUUUGCAAGUGUCUUGUGAAAUUAUUAUCAUCAUAUUCCAGUCUAUAGACAAUAAUAAUUUGCUCUAUUCAACUAAAUUUAUGAUAAUAGCUUUACACAAAAGCCAAAAGAAGAACGAUCCAAUUUCACCUUUUACUCCAAACACAAUUGAAUCAAUUACAAAACAUAAAGCCUAUACAAUUUUUAUUUUGAAGUAAAUGAAUAGAAUUCAAUCUUAUGAAUUGAAAUGUAAUUUUAAAUCAUAAUAACUCAAUGAAAACUAGUAUGUAAAACUGAAAAUGUGCGACUUGCAGCUGCUGGAGAGUUAUUUCGCAG